GGGGACUACACGGGUAUCUAAUCCUGUUCGAUACCCACGCCUUCGUGCUUCAGCGUCAGUUGGGCGCCGGUACGCUGCCUUCGCAAUCGGAGUUCUGCGUGAUAUCUAUGCAUUUCACCGCUACACCACGCAUUCCGCGUACUUCUCGCCCACUCAAGGCACCCAGUUUCAACGGCUCGACGAGGUUGAGCCCCGCAAUUUUACCGCUGACUUAAGCGUCCGCCUACGCACCCUUUAAACCCAAUAAAUCCGGAUAACGCUCGCAUCCUCCGUAUUACCGCGGCGGCUGACAC
rnacentral:misc_RNA from 1 species